AAUUUGAGCUAGAAUAGGAUUCUUAGUUGCUUAACUUGCUAGGAUAUCCAUUAGAACUCUAAAUACUUGAGUUUAACUUGGAUUGGGAGGCUAGUUCUAAGAGUCUAUUAAAUCCCUCUUGGGAUAGAUUUAUAGGAACUUAAUACUUACUUUCUUCCUUAGAUUAGGAACUCUAGAUUAGAUUAGAAGGGGAGAUUGAAGCAACUUGGAGGCCAUUGAAGAUCAAGAGCAAGAGCUUG
rnacentral:lncRNA from 1 species